rnacentral:rRNA from 1 species
GGGUUGUGAGGUUAAGCGACUAAGCGUACACGGUGGAUGCCCUGGCAGUCAGAGGCGAUGAAGGACGUGCUAAUCUGCGAUAAGCGUCGGUAAGGUGAUAUGAACCGUUAUAACCGGCGAUUUCCGAAUGGGGAAACCCAGUGUGUUUCGACACACUAUCAUUAACUGAAUCCAUAGGUUAAUGAGGCGAACCGGGGGAACUGAAACAUCUAAGUACCCCGAGGAAAAGAAAUCAACCGAGAUUCCCCCAGUAGCGGCGAGCGAACGGGGAGSAGCCCAGAGCCUGAAUCAGUGUGUGUGUUAGUGGAAGCGUCUGGAAAGGCGYGCGAUACAGGGUGACAGCCCCGUACACAAAAAUGCACAURCUGUGAGCUCGAUGAGUAGGGCGGGACACGUGGUAUCCUGUCUGAAUAUGGGGGGACCAUCCUCCAAGGCUAAAUACUCCUGACUGACCGAUAGUGAACCAGUACCGUGAGGGAAAGGCGAAAAGAACCCCGGCGAGGGGAGUGAAAAAGAACCUGAAACCGUGUACGUACAAGCAGUGGGAGCACGCUUAGGCGUGUGACUGCGUACCUUUUGUAUAAUGGGUCAGCGACUUAUAUUCUGUAGCAAGGUUAACCGAAUAGGGGAGCCGAAGGGAAACCGAGUCUUAACUGGGCGUUAAGUUGCAGGGUAUAGACCCGAAACCCGGUGAUCUAGCCAUGGGCAGGUUGAAGGUUGGGUAACACUAACUGGAGGACCGAACCGACUAAUGUUGAAAAAUUAGCGGAUGACUUGUGGCUGGGGGUGAAAGGCCAAUCAAACCGGGAGAUAGCUGGUUCUCCCCGAAAGCUAUUUAGGUAGCGCCUCGUGAAUUCAUCUCCGGGGGUAGAGCACUGUUUCGGCAAGGGGGUCAUCCCGACUUACCAACCCGAUGCAAACUGCGAAUACCGGAGAAUGUUAUCACGGGAGACACACGGCGGGUGCUAACGUCCGUCGUGAAGAGGGAAACAACCCAGACCGCCAGCUAAGGUCCCAAAGUCAUGGUUAAGUGGGAAACGAUGUGGGAAGGCCCAGACAGCCAGGAUGUUGGCUUAGAAGCAGCCAUCAUUUAAAGAAAGCGUAAUAGCUCACUGGUCGAGUCGGCCUGCGCGGAAGAUGUAACGGGGCUAAACCAUGCACCGAAGCUGCGGCAGCGACGCUUAUGCGUUGUUGGGUAGGGGAGCGUUCUGUAAGCCUGUGAAGGUGUGCUGUGAGGCAUGCUGGAGGUAUCAGAAGUGCGAAUGCUGACAUAAGUAACGAUAAAGCGGGUGAAAAGCCCGCUCGCCGGAAGACCAAGGGUUCCUGUCCAACGUUAAUCGGGGCAGGGUGAGUCGACCCCUAAGGCGAGGCCGAAAGGCGUAGUCGAUGGGAAACAGGUUAAUAUUCCUGUACUUGGUGUUACUGCGAAGGGGGGACGGAGAAGGCUAUGUUGGCCGGGCGACGGUUGUCCCGGUUUAAGCGUGUAGGCUGGUUUUCCAGGCAAAUCCGGAAAAUCAAGGCUGAGGCGUGAUGACGAGGCACUACGGUGCUGAAGCAACAAAUGCCCUGCUUCCAGGAAAAGCCUCUAAGCAUCAGGUAACAUCAAAUCGUACCCCAAACCGACACAGGUGGUCAGGUAGAGAAUACCAAGGCGCUUGAGAGAACUCGGGUGAAGGAACUAGGCAAAAUGGUGCCGUAACUUCGGGAGAAGGCACGCUGAUAUGUAGGUGAAGUCCCUCGCGGAUGGAGCUGAAAUCAGUCGAAGAUACCAGCUGGCUGCAACUGUUUAUUAAAAACACAGCACUGUGCAAACACGAAAGUGGACGUAUACGGUGUGACGCCUGCCCGGUGCCGGAAGGUUAAUUGAUGGGGUYAGCGCAAGCGAAGCUCUUGAUCGAAGCCCCGGUAAACGGCGGCCGUAACUAUAACGGUCCUAAGGUAGCGAAAUUCCUUGUCGGGUAAGUUCCGACCUGCACGAAUGGCGUAAUGAUGGCCAGGCUGUCUCCACCCGAGACUCAGUGAAAUUGAACUCGCUGUGAAGAUGCAGUGUACCCGCGGCAAGACGGAAAGACCCCGUGAACCUUUACUAUAGCUUGACACUGAACAUUGAGCCUUGAUGUGUAGGAUAGGUGGGAGGCUUWGAAGUGUGGACGCCAGUCUGCAUGGAGCCGACCUUGAAAUACCACCCUUUAAUGUUUGAUGUUCUAACGUUGACCCGUAAUCCGGGUUGCGGACAGUGUCUGGUGGGUAGUUUGACUGGGGCGGUCUCCUCCUAAAGAGUAACGGAGGAGCACGAAGGUUGGCUAAUCCUGGUCGGACAUCAGGAGGUUAGUGCAAUGGCAUAAGCCAGCUUGACUGCGAGCGUGACGGCGCGAGCAGGUGCGAAAGCAGGUCAUAGUGAUCCGGUGGUUCUGAAUGGAAGGGCCAUCGCUCAACGGAUAAAAGGUACUCCGGGGAUAACAGGCUGAUACCGCCCAAGAGUUCAUAUCGACGGCGGUGUUUGGCACCUCGAUGUCGGCUCAUCACAUCCUGGGGCUGAAGUAGGUCCCAAGGGUAUGGCUGUUCGCCAUUUAAAGUGGUACGCGAGCUGGGUUUAGAACGUCGUGAGACAGUUCGGUCCCUAUCUGCCGUGGGCGCUGGAGAACUGAGGGGGGCUGCUCCUAGUACGAGAGGACCGGAGUGGACGCAUCACUGGUGUUCGGGUUGUCAUGCCAAUGGCACUGCCCGGUAGCUAAAUGCGGAAGAGAUAAGUGCUGAAAGCAUCUAAGCACGAAACUUGCCCCGAGAUGAGUUCUCCCUGACYCYUURAGRGUCCUGAAGGAACGUUGAAGACGACGACGUUGAUAGGCCGGGUGUGUAAGCGCAGCGAUGCGUUGAGCUAACCGGUACUAAUGAACCGUGAGGCUUAACCUUACAACGCCGAAGCUGUU